GUCUACGGCCAUGCUACCAUGAACAAGCCCAAUCCCAUCUGAUCUCGGAAGCUAAGCAGGGUUGGGCCUGGUUAGUGCUUGGAUGGGAGACCACCUAGGAAGACCAGGUGCUGUAGGUG
rnacentral:rRNA from 1 species